UACGGAGGAUCCGAGCGUUAUCCGGAUUUAUUGGGUUUAAAGGGUGCGUAGGUGGAUUGGUAAGUCAGUGGUGAAAGUUUGCAGCUUAACUGUAAAAGUGCCUUCGAAACUUGUUUCCUUGAUUGUGGAUGAAGUAGGCGGAAUUUGUGGUGUAGCGGUGAAAUGCUUAGAGAUCACACAGAAUAUCGAUUGCGAAGGCAGCUCACAAAGCCAAGAUUGACGCUGAGGCACGAAAGUGUGGGGAUCAAACAGGAUUAGAUACCCCGGUAGU
rnacentral:rRNA from 1 species